GAUGAAGAACGUAGCGAAAUGCGAUAAGUAAUGCGAAUUGCAGAAUUUCCGUGAGUCAUCGAAUCUUUGAACGCACAUUGCGCCCUUUGGUAUUCCUUAGGGCAUGCCUGUUCGAGCGUCAUCUAAACCUUCAAGCUCAGCUUGGUGAUGGGCGACUGUCCCCCCCCCUCGCGGGGGGGACUCGCCUCAAAAACAUUGGCGGCCGGUACAUUGGCUUCGAGCGCAGCAGAAACGCGGUCUCGAGCCCGGUGGAUCGGCUCCCAUAAGCCUAUUCUUUUAUUUUGACCUCGGAUCAGGUAGGGAUACCCGCUGAACUUAAGCAUAUCAAUAAGCGGAGGA
rnacentral:misc_RNA from 1 species